GACUAACGCUGGCGGCGUGCCUAAUACAUGCAAGUCGAACGGAAUUCUUUGAUCAGCUUGCUGAGAGAAGGAUCUAGUGGCGGACGGGUGAGUAACGCGUGGGAAUCUGCCUCUUACUGGGGGAUAACAGUGGGAAACUACUGCUAAUACCGCAUAAGAUCUUCGGAUGAAAGGUGCAACUGCACCGGUAAGAGAUGAGCCCGCGUCCCAUUAGCUAGUUGGUGAGGUAAAGGCUCACCAAGGCGACGAUGGGUAGCCGGCCUGAGAGGGUGAACGGCCACACUGGGACUGAGACACGGCCCAGACUCCUACGGGAGGCAGCAGUAGGGAAUCUUCCGCAAUGGGCGCAAGCCUGACGGAGCGACGCCGCGUGAGUGAUGAAGGCCUUCGGGUCGUAAAGCUCUGUUCUUGAGGACGAAUAAGCCAGGGAGUGGAAAGCCCGUGGUGAUGACUGUACUCAAGGAGAAAGCUCCGGCUAACUACGUGCCG
rnacentral:rRNA from 1 species